UGAAUACGAGAUGCUACGGCGUCGAAGCAGUCUAUGUCAUACUUCCAAGAAAAGCUUGCACUGUCAUAAACAAAUAAUGCCUGUACCAUAACCGACACAGGUGGGUAGGUAGAGUAUACUAAGGGGCGCGAGAUAACUCUCUCUAAGGAACUCGGCAAAAUGACUCCGUAACUUCGGGAGAAGGAGUGCCUUAUUUAUAAGGUUGCAAUAACAAGAUCCAAGCAACUGUUUACCAAAAACACAGGUCUCCGCUAAGUCGUAAGACGAUGUAUGGGGGCUGACGCCUGCCCAGUGCCAGAAGGUUAAAGAAGUUGGUUAGCAUCCGCGAAGCUGAUAACUGAAGCCCUGGUGAACGGCGGCCGUAACUAUAACGGUCCUAAGGUAGCGAAAUUCCUUGUCGGGUAAGUUCCGACCCGCACGAAAGGCGUAAUGAUUUGGAUACUGUCUCGGAGAGGGGCUCGGUGAAAUAGACUUGUCUGUGAAGAUGCGGACUACCUGCACCAGGACAGAAAGACCCUAUGAAGCUUUACUGUAACCUGAAAUUGAAAUUGGACUUUACUUGCGCAGUAUAGGUGGGAGGCGUUGAGAAUAUUCUUGCGGGAUUAUUGGAGCCAUCAGUGAGAUACCACUCUUGUAAUGUUAGAUUUCUAACUUUGUAUCAUUAUCUGGUCAAAGAACAGUUUCAGGCGGGCAGUUUGACUGGGGCGGUCGCCUCCUAAACGGUAACGGAGGCGCACAAAGGUUUCCUCUGAACGGGUAGAAAUCGUAUCUAGAGUGUAAAGGCAUAAGGAAGCUUGACUGUGAGACCUACAAGUCGAGCAGGGACGAAAGUCGGUCUUAGUGAUCUGACGGUGCUGAGUGGAAAGGCCGACACUCAACGGAUAAAAGUUACUCUAGGAUAACAGGCUGAUCUCCCCCAAGAGUUCACAUCGACGGGGAGGUUUGGCACCUCGAUGUCGGCUCAUCGCAUCCUGGGGCGGUAGUACGUCCCAAGGGUUGGGCUGUUCGCCCAUGAAAGCGGUACGCGAGCUGGGUUCAGAACGUCGUGAGACAGUUCGGUCCAUAUCCGGUGUAGGCGUUAGAAUAUUGAGAGGAGCCUUCUUUAGUACGAGAGGACCGAGAAGGACAUACCUCUGGUGUACCAGUUAUCGUGCCAACGGUAAACGCUGGGUAGCUAUGUGUGGAGUGGAUAACCGCUGAAAGCAUCUAAGUGGGAAGCCCACCUCAAGAUAAG
rnacentral:rRNA from 1 species